rnacentral:rRNA from 1 species
GCAAGUCGAGCGGUAACAUUUCUAGCUUGCUAGAAGAUGACGAGCGGCGGACGGGUGAGUAACGCGUAGAAAUCUACCUAGUAGUGGGGGAUAGCCCAGAGAAAUUUGGAUUAAUACCGCAUACGCCCUACGGGGGAAAGGAGGGGACCUUCGGACCUUGCACUAUUGGAUGAGCCUGCGUGAGAUUAGCUAGUUGGUGAGGUAAUGGCUCACCAAGGCGACGAUCUCUAGCUGGUCUGAGAGGAUGAUC